rnacentral:lncRNA from 1 species
AUUUUGAUUGGUAAGGAAUUUAUCCUAUAUAUUCAAAUAGUUGUAAGUACACAUACUAAAAAGUUAACAUCAGAUUGUGACAUUUAGCCUAGAACAAAUGAACAUAUAUAAAAACUUAAAAAGAUCAUCACAAAGAGAAUUGCGUAAUGCCUACUGGAAUUACAUUGGAAAAAUGAUAUGUGACCUAUCAGUAGAAGAAGCAGAUGACAACAUCAGACGACAAAACAACUAAAGAACUUAUAAACAUACAUUAAAAACAUAAAGAAUGACAACACAUGCAUCUCUGCACUAAGGAAAGAUAAUAAACUAACAGACAUUACAUCAGAAAAAGCUAAAAUCUUAAACAGUCAUUUUCAGAUCCCGUCAUUAUGUUAUUGUUCUAUUAUAAAUUUGAUAAUUAUACUUUGAACGACAAAC